UGGGGAAUUUUGGGCAAUGGGGGAAACCCUGAUCCAGCCAUCCCGCGUGUGCGAUGAAGGCCUUCGGGUUGUAAAGCACUUUUGGCAGGAAAGAAACGUCGCGGGUUAAUACCCCGCGAAACUGACGGUACCUGCAGAAUAAGCACCGGCUAACUACGUGCCAGCAGCCGCGGUAAUACGUAGGGUGCAAGCGUUAAUCGGAAUUACUGGGCGUAAAGCGUGCGCAGGCGGUUCGGAAAGAAAGAUGUGAAAUCCCAGAGCUUAACUUUGGAACUGCAUUUUUAACUACCGGGCUAGAGUGUGUCAGAGGGAGGUGGAAUUCCGCGUGUAGCAGUGAAAUGCGUAGAUAUGCGGAGGAACACCGAUGGCGAAGGCAGCCUCCUGGGAUAACACUGACGCUCAUGCACGAAAGCGUGGGGAGCAAACAGGAUUAGAUACCCUGGUAGUCCACGCCCUAAACGAUGUCAACUAGCUGUUGGGGCCUUCGGGCCUUGGUAGCGCAGCUAACGCGUGAAGUUGACCGCCUGGGGAGUACGGUC
rnacentral:rRNA from 1 species